rnacentral:tRNA from 1 species
GUGGGUAUAGCUCAGUGGUAGAUCGCAUGUUAGCAUGCACAAGGUCCUGAGUUCAAUCCUCAGUACCUCCA